GAUGAACGCUGGCGGCGUGCCUAAUACAUGCAAGUCGAGCGAACAGAUGAGGAGCUUGCUCCUCUGACGUUAGCGGCGGACGGGUGAGUAACACGUGGAUAACCUACCUAUAAGACUGGGAUAACUUCGGGAAACCGGAGCUAAUACCGGAUAAUAUAUUGAACCGCAUGGUUCAAUAGUGAAAGACGGUUUUGCUGUCACUUAUAGAUGGAUCCGCGCCGCAUUAGCUAGUUGGUAAGGUAACGGCUUACCAAGGCAACGAUGCGUAGCCGACCUGAGAGAGUGAUCGGCCACACUGGAACUGAGACACGGCCCAGAUUCCUACGGGAGGCAGAGGUAGGGAAUCUUCCGCAAGGGGCGAAAGCCUGACGGAGCAACGCCGCGGGAGUGAGGAAGGUCUUCGGAUCGUAAAACUCUGUUAUUAGGGAAGAACAAAUGUGUAAGUAACGAUGCACGUCUGGACGGUACCUAAGCAGAAAGCCACGGCUAACUACGU
rnacentral:rRNA from 1 species